rnacentral:rRNA from 2 species
GACGAACCGAGCGAACGUUGUUCGGAAUCACUGGGCUUAAAGGGCGCGUAGGCGGGCAUUCAAGUCUAUGGUGAAAUCCUCCAGCUUAACUGGAGAACUGCCGUGGAUACUGGGUGUCUCGAGGGAGGUAGGGGCGUGCGGAACUAUUGGUGGAGCGGUGAAAUGCGUUGAUAUCAAUAGGAACUCCGGUGGCGAAGGCGGCACGCUGGACCUCUUCUGACGCUGAGGCGCGAAAGCCAGGGGAGCAAACGGG